rnacentral:rRNA from 1 species
UGGGGAAUAUUGCACAAUGGGCGCAAGCCUGAUGCAGCCAUGCCGCGUGUGUGAAGAAGGCCUUCGGGUUGUAAAGCACUUUCAGCGAGGAGGAAGGCAGUCGUGUUAAUAGCACGAUUGAUUAACGUUACUCGCAGAAGAAGCACCGGCUAACUCCGUGCCAGCAGCCGCGGUAAUACGGAGGGUGCAAGCGUUAAUCGGAAUUACUGGGCGUAAAGCGCACGCAGGCGGUUUGUUAAGUCAGAUGUGAAAUCCCCGCGCUUAACGUGGGAACUGCAUUUGAAACUGGCAAGCUAGAGUCUUGUAGAGGGGGGUAGAAUUCCAGGUGUAGCGGUGAAAUGCGUAGAGAUCUGGAGGAAUACCGGUGGCGAAGGCGGCCCCCUGGACAAAGACUGACGCUCAGGUGCGAAAGCGUGGGGAGCAAACA